GACUUGGGACGCAGCCGGUUCGGGUUGCGUCGCGGCACCG
rnacentral:sRNA from 1 species